rnacentral:tRNA from 1 species
ACCUGGCUGGCUCAGUCAGUAGAGCAUCCAACUCUUGAUCUUGGAGUCGUGAGUUCAAGCCCCACGAUGGGUG